rnacentral:tRNA from 2 species
GGGCGGAUGUAGCCAAGUGGAUCAAGGCGGUGGAUUGUGAAUCCACCAUGCGCGGGU